rnacentral:lncRNA from 1 species
UUUAAAUACCUCACCGUUUUCAAUGUGGACCGUUCGAUCACGCCUAAAGGGGAAACUGAUCUAGACCGUCCAAUUGGAGAUUGUGGGCUAUUUGAUCAAACCUAUUCAGAGAAUCGAUCUCAAUCGUUCAUGCGCGCGGGAGAGGUCUUGAACCAUUCGAUCGGCCCGACACGCAGAUCGCUUGUGUGGCUUUUUGCAUGGAACCGUGCCGGCAUGUCCGUCACGUGGCACACGAAGAUUCAUUGUGCUGCUGAAGUGGCCGUCCCAUGUGACCACUUUUUCUGUUUUUAUGAUUUGACCCAUAUUUUUCAAUUUUCCUUUCAAAUAUACUCUCCCUUUAUUUAUAGUUUGACC